AUUGAACGCUGGCGGAAUGCUUUACACAUGCAAGUCGAACGGCAGCACGGACUUCGGUCUGGUGGCGAGUGGCGAACGGGUGAGUAAUAUAUCGGAACGUAUCCAAUAAUGGGGGAUAACUAAUCGAAAGGUUGGCUAAUACCGCAUACGCCCUACGGGGGAAAGCUAGGGACCUUCGGGCCUGGCGUUAAUGGAGCGGCUGAUAUCUGAUUAGCUAGUAGGUGAGGUAAAGGCUCACCUAGGCGACGAUCAGUAGCUGGUCUGAGAGGACGACCAGCCACACUGGAACUGAGACACGGUCCAGACUCCUACGGGAGGCAGCAGUGGGGAAUUUUGGACAAUGGGCGAAAGCCUGAUCCAGCCAUUCCGCGUGAGUGAAGAAGGCCUUCGGGUUGUAAAGCUCUUUCGCAAGGGAAGAAAACUUAUCCUCUAACAUAGGGUGAGGUUGACGGUACCUUGAUAAGAAGCACCGGCUAACUACGUGCCAGCAGCCGCGGUAAUACGUAGGGUGCGAGCGUUAAUCGGAAUUACUGGGCGUAAAGCGUGCGCAGGCGGUUUUGUAAGUCAGAUGUGAAAUCCCCAAGCUCAACUUGGGAACUGCGUUUGAAACUAUAAGACUAGAAUAUGUCAGAGGGGGGUAGAAUUCCACGUGUAGCAGUGAAAUGCGUAGAGAUGUGGAGGAAUACCAAUGGCGAAGGCAGCCCCCUGGGAUAAUAUUGACGCUCAUGCACGAAAGCGUGGGGAGCAAACAGGAUUAGAUACCCUGGUAGUCCACGCCCUAAACGAUGUCUACUAGUUGUUGGUGGAGUAAAACCCAUGAGUAACGCAGCUAACGCGUGAAGUAGACCGCCUGGGGAGUACGGUCGCAAGAUUA
rnacentral:rRNA from 1 species